rnacentral:rRNA from 1 species
UGGGGAAUUUUGCACAAUGGGGGAAACCCUGAUGCAGCGACGCCGCGUGAUUUAGAAGGCCUUCGGGUUGUAAAAAUCUUUUCUAUGGGAAGAAAAUGACAGUACCAUAGGAAUAAGGACCGGCUAAUUACGUGCCAGCAGCCGCGGUAAUACGUAAGGUCCGAGUGUUGUCCGGAAUCAUUGGGCGUAAAGGGUACGUAGGCGGGUAAGCAAGUUAGAAGUGAAAUCCUAUAGCUCAACUAUAGUAAGCUUUUAAAACUGCUCAUCUUGAGGUAUGGAAGGGAAAGUGGAAUUCCUAGUGUAGCGGUGAAAUGCGCAGAUAUUAGGAGGAAUACCGGUGGCGAAGGCGACUUUCUGGCCAUAACCUGACGCUGAGGUACGAAAGCGUGGGUAGCAAACAGG